rnacentral:rRNA from 1 species
UGGGGAAUUUUCCGCAAUGGGCGAAAGCCUGACGGAGCAAUACCGCGUGAGGGAGGAAUGCCUUUGGGUUGUAAACCUCUUUUCUCAGGGAAGAAGAUCUGACGAUACCUGAGGAAUAAGUAUCGGCUAACUCCGUGCCAGCAGCCGCGGUAAUACGGAGGAUGCAAGAGUUAUCCGGAAUCAUUGGGCGUAAAGCGUCCGCAGGUGGUUUCCAAAGUCUGCUGUUAAAGACUGGAGCUCAACUCCGGAACGGCGGUGGAAACUUGGAAACUAGAGUUCGGUAGGGGUAGCAGGAAUUCCCAGUGUAGCGGUGAAAUGCGUAGAUAUUGGGAAGAACAUCGGUGGCGAAGGCGUGCUACUGGACCGUAAAUGACACUCAGGGACGAAAGCUAGGGGAGCGAAAGGGAUUAGAUACCCCUGUAGUCCUAGCUGUAAACGAUGGAAACUAGGUGUGGCUUGA